rnacentral:lncRNA from 1 species
GAGAUCUAGCAGGCUGCUGGACAAGCCAGAGGUCAUGGCGGAGAAUGGUAACCAGAGAUUCACAGAGGUGGGUGUGGCAGCGAUGUUGGUUGUAUUUCGCUUCCUGUCUGUAGAAUUUUGCAAUCUGGGGAGUCCUUGAAGUCAGGAUUAUGUUUAGAUUCCCUCAUGCAAGCUUUAUCCAGGUUCACCUUCUCCUUCACUGCUUGGCAAGAACUGCAGAACUCCUUUCUUGGAUGUUUGCCUCCUGUGCAUCCGGCAUUAAUGUUCAUUGGAUGGCUCAGCACAGUCCCAGGCAAGCAGUCUUGAGAAAUACAGACUCAGGGACAUGAGCACAGGGAGGUCAUGUGUCACAGGAGAAAUGAAGGCCAUUCAAGGCCUGGACACAAAGCACACGUAGAAAGCAACAUGGCUGGAGCUGGAAGCCCAAGCAGCAAGACCUUUCAAUGGUCCCCAUAGACUUCCAGCUUUCCUGUGCAGAUACUCAUUGAAAGUGGAUUAACUCAUGGGCUAAUUAUUUAAAUCCACAAACUUUUGAAAAUAAUGAUAUAAAUUGUCAGUAUAAGUAGUUUGGAAAAUAUAGAAAAGUAUAAAUAAGAAAACAAAACCACAACCCAGACUAAUCUUUGUGGUGUUUUAUUUAUUUACUUUUUUGGGGGGCGGGUGGUUGUUAUCAGGGAUUGAACCCAGGGACACUCGACCACCGAGUCACAUCUCCAGUCCUAUUUUAUAUUUUAUUUAGAAACAGGGUCUCACUGAUUGCUUAGCAUCUCACUUUUGCUGAGGCUGGCUUUGAACUCACAACCUUCCUGCCUCAGCCUCAGCUGGGAUUAUAGGUAUGCACCACUGUGCCUGGCCUAUGGUGUUUCUUUGUUGUUUGAACUUACAAAGAAUUUGAUGCUUGUCAUGCACAUCAUUUAAGAAUUUGUGAAAUUGCUUUUCUUUGUCAUUUCUUUGUCUUCAAAACAAUUCAACUUAAAUUACUGAAACAUAAUCAAUCAUGAGCCAUUUAACUUUUUUUUUUUUUUGCUAUUGACAGCUGUUUAUUUUCCCCCAAAUUAUUGCCAUUAUGAGUAAUGCUAUGAGAAUUCUUUCCUAGGAUGUCAAUAGGAAUUAUUUUUAAGAUUUCUCAUAUUUUGUAGAG